rnacentral:rRNA from 1 species
CGCGGCCUAUCAGCUUGUUGGUGGGGCGAUGGCCUACCAAGGCGACGACGGGUAGCCGGCCUGAGAGGGCGACCGGCCACACUGGGACUGAGACACGGCCCAGACUCCUACGGGAGGCAGCAGUGGGGAAUAUUGCACAAUGGGCGCAAGCCUGAUGCAGCGACGCCGCGUGAGGGAUGAAGGCCUUCGGGUUGUAAACCUCUUUCAGCAGGGAAGAAGCGAGAGUGACGGUACCUGCAGAAGAAGCGCCGGCUAACUACGUGCCAGCAGCCGCGGUAAUACGUAGGGCGCAAGCGUUGUCCGGAAUUAUUGGGCGUAAAGAGCUCGUAGGCGGUUUGUCGCGUCUGCUGUGAAAACCUGAGGCUCAACCUCGGGCUUGCAGUGGGUACGGGCAGACUAGAGUGCGGUAGGGGUGACUGGAAUUCCUGGUGUAGCGGUGGAAUGCGCAGAUAUCAGGAGGAACACCGAUGGCGAAGGCAGGUCACUGGGCCGCAACUGACGCUGAGGAGCGAAAGCAUGGGGAGCGAACAGGAUUAGAUACCCUGGUAGUCCAUGCCGUAAACGUUGGGCACUAGGUGUGGAGUCCAUUCCACGGGUUCCGUGCCGCAGCAAACGCAUUAAGUGCCCCGCCUGGGGAGUACGG